rnacentral:tRNA from 1 species
AAGUCUUAAGUUAAAAUAAACUAGUAACCUUCAAAGUUAAAAUUAAUCUUUGUUUAGAUUUUGA